rnacentral:antisense_RNA from 1 species
GGAAAGGAGGGCCAAGUAGAGCCUCCACGACCCUCGGCUUCCUCCUCACCAGCUCCGCCUCCCUCCAAGUCCAGUAAGAAGUUGGGCCAAGCUGGAAGGGAUUGACCGGGUUGCUUGUCUGGAGAUGGAGCCACUACGGGCAGGGCCUGGGCGCCUGGAGUCGGGCAUGAAAGAAAAUAGCGCCUCAUCGCUCUUAUCUAAGCCCAGAGGUCGACUUCGCUUGAAAAGAUCGAGAAUGGAGGAGGGGAUCGGCACUCACUUGCAGACAUCAACAGUUUCCAGAAAAUUCGGUUCAAUUCCUUCACCACGGACCCACCAACCAAGGAGCUGGCAAAACCCGCUAACCAACCAGGAGAACACAGACCCGGUUUGUCUUUUGACAACCGAGUGGAACUGACGGGGCCGGCGCCUGCCCUGCGGGUCCCCUCCCUUGGCUGAGAAGAAAACCAAAUAAACCUUGAACAGCCUUGGC